CAGCAGCCGCGGGAAUACGUAGGGUGCGAGCGUUAAUCGGAAUUACUGGGCGUAAAGCGUGCGCAGGCGGUUCGUUAAGACAGAUGCGAAAUCCCCGGGCUUAACCUGGGAACUGCAUUUGUGACUGGCGAGCUAGAGUAUGGCAGAGGGGGGUAGAAUUCCACGUGUAGCAGUGAAAUGCGUAGAGAUGUGGAGGAAUACCGAUGGCGAAGGCAGCCCCCUGGGCCAAUACUGACGCUCAUGCACGAAAGCGUGGGGAGCAAACAGGAUUAGAUACCCCGGUAGUCCCUGUCUCUUAUAC
rnacentral:rRNA from 1 species